rnacentral:rRNA from 1 species
AUUGAACGCUGGCGGCAUGCUUUACACAUGCAAGUCGAACGGUAACAGGUUAAGCUGACGAGUGGCGAACGGGUGAGUAAUGCAUCGGAACGUGCCCGGUCGUGGGGGAUAACGCAGCGAAAGCUGCGCUAAUACCGCAUACGAUCUGAGGAUGAAAGCGGGGGACCGUAAGGCCUCGCGCGAUCGGAGCGGCCGAUGUCAGAUUAGGUAGUUGGUGGGGUAAAGGCUCACCAAGCCAACGAUCAGUAGCUGGUCUGAGAGGACGACCAGCCACACUGGGACUGAGACACGGCCCAGACUCCUACGGGAGGCAGCAGUGGGGAAUUGUGGACAAUGGGCGAAAGCCUGAUCCAGCAAUGCCGCGUGCAGGAAGAAGGCCUUCGGGUUGUAAACUGCUUUUGUACGGAGCGAAAAGGUCUCCUCUAAUACAGGGGGCUCAUGACGGUACCGUAAGAAUAAGCACCGGCUAACUACGUGCCAGUCGCCGCCGUAA